rnacentral:rRNA from 1 species
ACCUUGACAACCUACUUGGAUAACUGUGGUAAUUCUAGAGCUAAUACAUGCACCAAAGCUCCGAUCCUCGCGGAGAGGAGCGCAUUUGUUCGCCACAAAACCAAGCGCCCAUCUGGGCGUCCAGUGCUGAACCAGAACAACUCAGCUGAUCGCACGGUCUUGUACCGGCGACGUGUCUUUCAAGUGUCUGCCUUAUCAACUUUCGAUGGUAGUGUACCUGACUACCAUGGUUGUGACGGGUAACGGAGGAUAAGGGUUCGACUCCGGAGAAGGGGCCUGAGAAAUGGCCACUACGUCUAAGGAUGGCAGCAGGCGCGCAAAUUACCCACUCUCAACGCGAGGAGGUAGUGACGAGAAAUAACGAGACCGUUCUCAUACGAGGCCGGUUAUUGGAAUGGGUACAAUUUAAA